rnacentral:rRNA from 1 species
GAUGAACGCUAGCGGCAGGCUUAAUACAUGCAAGUCGAGGGGCAUCAAGGUACACGAAAGUGUAUUGUUGGCGACCGGCGGACGGGUGAGUAAUAGGUAGGUAACCUACCUCAUACUGAGGCAUAGCUGGGAGAAAUUCCAGGUAAUUCCUCAUGAGGUUAUAUGACACAUGUGAUAUAAUCAAAGGUAUCGCAAGGUACUGGUAUGAGAUGGGCUUACUGACCAUUAGCUAGUUGGUGAGAUAAGAGCUCACCAAGGCGAAGAUGGUUAGGGGUUUUGAGAGAGAGAUCCCCCACAUUGGAACUGAGAUACGGUCCAGACUCCUACGGGAGGCAGCAGUAGGGAAUAUUGGGCAAUGGGCGGAAGCCUGACCCAGCCAUGCCGCGUGAAGGAAGACGGCCUUAUGGGUUGUAAAGCACUUUUGGCGGGAGCGAAACGGCGUUUGCUAAUACCAGACGCUAAUGACGGUACCCGCAGAAUAAGCACCGGCUAACUACG